rnacentral:rRNA from 1 species
GUAGGUGGCAAGCGUUGUCCGGAAUUAUUGGGCGUAAAGCGCGCGCAGGCGGUUCUUUAAGUCUGAUAUAAAAGCCCACGGGCUCAACCGUGGAGGGUCAUUGGAAACUGGAGAACUUGAGUACAGAAGAGGAAAGCGGAAUUCCACGUGUAGCGGUGAAAUGCGUAGAGAUGUGGAGGAACACCAGUGGCGAAGGCGGCUUUCUGGUCUGUAACUGACGCUGAGGCGCGAAAGCGUGGGGAGCAAACAGGAUUAGAUACCCUGGUAGUCCACGCCGUAAACGAUGAGUGCUAAGUGUUAGGGGGUUUCCGCCCCUUAGUGCUGCAGCUAACGCAUUAAGCACUCCGCCUGGGGAGUACGGCCGCAAAGGCUG